UGAGGAAUAUUGGGCAAUGCUCGCGAGAGUGACCCAGCCAUGCCGCGUGCAGGAUGACGGUCCUAUGGAUUGUAAACUGCUUUUAUACGGGAAGAAACCCUUUCUUGCGAGAGAGCUUGACGGUACCGUAUGAAUAAGGAUCGGCUAACUCCGUGCCAGCAGCCGCGGUAAUACGGAGGAUCCAAGCGUUAUCCGGAAUCAUUGGGUUUAAAGGGUCCGUAGGCGGUUUAAUAAGUCAGUGGUGAAAUCU
rnacentral:rRNA from 1 species